UUUUCCGGUGAUCCUGCCGGACCCGACUGCUAUUUGGGUGAGACUAAGCCAUGCGAGUCGAAUGGGAUACCUAAAUUUCCCAUGGCAGACUGCUCAGUAACACAUGAUCAACUUACCCUAUGGAGAAAAAUAACCUCGGGAAACUGAGGAUAAUGUUUCAUAGUUGAAAAGGCUUGGAAAAGUUUUCCAAUGAAAGGGAUAAGAAAAAUGGUUUUUAUUUGCCAUAGGAUAGGAUCGUGGUCGAUUAUGGUAGUUGGCGAGGUAACGGCUCACCAAGCCGAUAAUCGAUAGGGGCCGUGAGAGCGGGAGCCCCGAGAUGGGUACUGAGACAACGACCCAGGCCUUACGAGGCGCAGCAGGCGCGAAACCUCCGCAAUACACGAAAGUGUGACGGGGUUACCCAAAGUGUCCAUUCUUGGACUGUGGUAGGUGAGUAAUGUCCCCUACUAGAAAGGAGAGGGCAAGGCUGGUGCCAGCCGCCGCGGUAAAACCAGCUCUUCAAGUGGUCGGGAUAAUUAUUGGGCUUAAAGUGUCCGUAGCCGGUUUAGUAAGUUCCUGGUAAAAUCAGGUAGCCUAACUAUCUGUAUGCUAGGAAUACUGCUAUACUAGAGGGCGGGAGAGGUCUGAGGUACUACAGGGGUAGGGGUGAAAUCUUAUAAUCCUUGUAGGACCACCAGUGGCGAAGGCGUCAGACUGGAACGCGCCUGACGGUGAGGGACGAAAGCCAGGGGAGCGAACCGGAUUAGAUACCCGGGUAGUCCUGGCCGUAAACGAUGCAUACUAGGUGAUGGCACGGCCAUGAGCCGUGUCAGUGCCGUAGGGAAACCGUUAAGUGUGCCGCCUGGGAAGUACGGUCGCAAGGCUAAAACUUAAAGGAAUUGGCGGGGGAGCACCACAAGGGGUGAAGCCUGCGGUUUAAUUGGAUUCAACGCCGGGAAUCACUAGU
rnacentral:rRNA from 1 species